GACAUCGUCACUGAAUUGAGCUUUAUAAACACAUCCUGAUCUACCUUCUCCUAUAGCAUUCUUCUCAUUGAAAUUAUCAGUUGCAGCUACUAACGACUGGUACUCGAUCACAGCAACUAGUCCUUUCUUACCGACAGUUUUUAAAGAAGGGAACUUGGCCAUUAUAGGACCCCAUGAAAGGCCCUUCGCAGGCUCUCCUUUCUGAUG
rnacentral:misc_RNA from 1 species